rnacentral:lncRNA from 1 species
UGUUUUUGGUACAUUUGGGACCAUAAAACCCGAAGCAACUAAACUACAAUCUAAUAGUCUCCUCUGUUUCGGCACAUAUGAGAAAAAGUUACCAAAUUGUUCACCUUUUGCUUUUGCAAAUCCUCAACCAAGAAAAAGAAAUGCCAAAAGCAACAAAAAAGCAAAAUUCUAAAUUGAUAUAGCAACAUGGAUGGUGGUCAUGAGAGACAGAAAUGUCUCUGUGAGUCUUUCUAGCAGUAGAUUACUAUGGCGAAGCCACUUGCCGGUUUUUUUUUUUUCUUCUUAAAAAGAACAUGAUAUAGAAAGGCUCAUAAUCCUACUAACAAUAAGGGAAAUUUUGGCAAUGUUCCAUAAAUUUAGUAUAGUGUUAUAAUUUACUUCUUCAACUUUCAGAUUAUGAACCUCUUUAAUAUGCAAAAAUGAAAAAGAGUUAAUUUUUCACAUACCAUCAAAUCAAUCAUAUUUCCGAUCAAAUAGGGUUAUGUUCGUUAACUUAAGCGAGGAAGAGGAACAUAACUGAACAUGAUACAAAUUUGACUUACAUUUAUUAUCAAUAAAUUUGGUAGAGGAGGGGCAUGUGAGGAGUUGGGUGUAAUGGUGGUCCUCACUUAUUCAAGAGAGAGUAGGUACCUCGCACGCGAUCAUUGUUAAAAAACUAAUCUCGUCUAAUAUUUUUCUAUUUUAAAAGAAAAAACAUGAUUAUGUAAACUCGAAAACAAAAUU